AGAUCACUUGAACCUGGGAAGUUGAGGCUGCAGUGAGCUGAGAGCGUGCCACUACACUCCAACCUGGGCAACAAAG
rnacentral:snRNA from 1 species